GCCUGGGUGGCUCAGUCGGUUAAGCAUCCAACUUCGGCUUGGGUCAUGAUCUCACAGUUUGUGGGUUCGAGCCCCACAUUGGGCU
rnacentral:tRNA from 1 species